GGAAAGUUGGGUCUCUCUCUCUCUCUCUCUCUCUCUCUCUCUCUCUCUGUGUGUGUGUGUGAGAGAGAGAGAGAGAGAGAGAGAGAGAGAGAGAGAGAGAGAGAAACGGUAG
rnacentral:miRNA from 1 species